rnacentral:rRNA from 1 species
CCUACGGGGGGCAGCAGUGAGGAAUAUUGGUCAAUGGGCGGAAGCCUGAACCAGCCAAGUCGCGUGAGGGAAUAAGGCCCUACGGGUCGUAAACCUCUUUUGCCGGGGAGCAAGGGCCGGGACGCGUCCCGGCCCGGAGAGUACCCGGAGAAAAAGCAUCGGCUAACUCCGUGCCAGCAGCCGCGGUAAUACGGAGGAUGCGUGCGUUAUCCGGAUUUAUUGGGUUUAAAGGGUGCGUAGGCGGGCUUUUAAGUCAGAGGUAAGAAUUCGGGGCUCAACCCCGUCCGGCCGUUGCAACUGGGGGC